GACGAACGCUGGCGGCGUGCCUAAUACAUGCAAGUAGAACGCAGUUGCGAACGGGUGAGUAACGCGUAGGUAACUGCCUCAUAGCGGGGGAUAACUAUUGGAAACGAUAGCUAAUACCGCAUACUGUGAGAUGGACCUGCGUUGUAUUAGCUAGUUGGUGAGGUAAAGGCUAACCAAGGCGACGAUCCAUAGCCGCCCUGAGAGGAGGUCCGGCCACAAUGGGACUGAGACACGGCCCAGACUCCUACGGGAGGAAGCAGUGGGGAAUUUUGGGCAAUGGAGGAAAGCCGGACCGAGCAACCCCGCGUGGGUGAGGAAGGUUUUCGGAUCGUAAAGCCCUUUUGUUAGAGAAGCGGGAACUUAACAAAAAGGGGCGGCUAACUUAGUGCCAGCAGCCGCGGUAAUAC
rnacentral:rRNA from 1 species